AGUGAACGCUGGCGGUAGGCCUAACACAUGCAAGUCGAACGGCAGCACAGUAAGAGCUUGCUCUUACGGGUGGCGAGUGGCGGACGGGUGAGGAAUACAUCGGAAUCUACUUUUUCGUGGGGGAUAACGUAGGGAAACUUACGCUAAUACCGCAUACGACCUACGGGUGAAAGCAGGGGAUCUUCGGACCUUGCGCGAUUGAAUGAGCCGAUGUCGGAUUAGCUAGUUGGCGGGGUAAAGGCCCACCAAGGCGACGAUCCGUAGCUGGUCUGAGAGGAUGAUCAGCCACACUGGAACUGAGACAGGGUCCAGACUCCUACGGGAGGAAGCAGUGGGGAAUAUUGGACAAUGGGCGCAAGCCUGAUCCAGCCAUACCGCGUGGGUGAAGAAGGCCUUCGGGUUGUAAAGCCCUUUUGUUGGGAAAGAAAAGCAGCAGGUUAAUACCCCGCUGUUCUGACGGUACCCAAAGAAUAAGCACCGGCUAACUUCGUG
rnacentral:rRNA from 1 species